GUUGCAUUAAUGGAUAGUCCAGUAUAAGCUUAGUUGAUGAAAGUAAAAAAUAAUACAUCUUUAAAAUUACAUACUACUACUACUAUUAGUAAUUUCCACUGAAAAGAUGUCCCAAAUUAUAGAAACAAAAUCAUAUCAGUGUCACAAAUAAUACUAGUUAAUUCCCAAACUCUGUCACAACAAUGACUGUGUUGUGUCAAUGUGAGUUUUUGAGGUUGUCAAGGUGAUAGACAACUUCUCUUUUUCAAAUAUUUUAUGACUCUCAGCUUAUUAUUUUUACUUCUUGACAUUCUGAGAAACUGUGGCUCUAAAGAUGUAAUACAUCAGGCACAGUCAGUUCAGCUUCUUGCACCUGUUCAUGUUUAACAGGAUGCAAUAUGUGUCUUUGAAAAAGAGGCAGGGAGUCAUUCUGUUGAAGCUGUUGAGCAACUCCUCUAUUUUUCCCAAUAAUAGAUCAAUAGAGAGGGAAGAGCAAUAGUAGAAGAGUCUGGAAAACUUAGAAACAGAGCUGAAAUACUAUCAAAAAUUCAGGGAAUCCAUGUCAGAUGUAAAAUUUUUCCGUGGACAUGAUUGAUGGUGGAAAUAUCAGUUGCUUAUUUUCACGCUGAUGCGUACAUUGGAGCCCAUAUGUCAACAGCAUGAUGGACAUGAUGCCUAAAAUAUGACGUCUAGUGAAGUGCUACAUCUGCGCAGGGUGCGAGGUACCCUGUGUGUACAAAGGCUUUGAUGUGGGAGUGUGGAGAAAUUGAAGAAGCUGAACAAUAUAGGAAACAUUACCAUUACAUCCAUGGGUAAAGGUACUGAAUCCAUGUAUUGGCUUAUAUCCAAAGCCACCUCUGCAUGAGACCACAACUAGUUCCCAAGGAUUUUCUCAGUUCCAGUGGAGUAUGAUAUGGAGAGCUGUGUGUUCAUGGAAGUCUUGGAAUGCUGAAGAAGGUGAAGUGGAGUAGAGAAUCCUGGAUAAUGGUGAAUGGUGCCAAAAAAAGAAAUGCUAAAUGCUAAUAAAUACUGCACCUCUGAAAGCUGCUUAUGCUGUUCUGCUCCACUGCUUUCUCUCGCUGUUGUACUGCUUAAAUUUAAGGAGAAAUUGCAGUGCAGUUUAUUGUCAGUGGCCAAAGUGUUUCAAGCAACAGAUCACUGUGAGACUCAAAAAACAGAUGUUGUGGUUGAAAGUAAACUAUACAAGCCAGCACACCUACCAC